ACGGGCUUAGCUCAGCUGGUAGAGUAGUGGUCUCCAAAACCAUUGGUCGUGGGUUCGAAUCCUACAGCCCGUGCAA
rnacentral:tRNA from 1 species